UACGAAGGGUGCAAACGUUGCUCGGAAUCACUGGGCGUAAAGCGCACGUAGGCGGAUCUUUAAGUCAGGGGUGAAAUCCCAAGGCUCAACCUUGGAACUGCCUUUGAUACUGGGGAUCUCGAGUCCGGAAGAGGUGAGUGGAACUGCGAGUGUAGAGGUGAAAUUCGUAGAUAUUCGCAAGAACACCAGUGGCGAAGGCGGCUCACUGGUCCGGUACUGACGCUGAGGUGCGAAAGCGUGGGGAGCAAACAGG
rnacentral:rRNA from 1 species